CCAAACUGUAAACUGGCCUAACUUUUGAAAGGUUAUAACUUUUGGGUCAAAAAAAUGACUGUACGGCCUCAACUCCUUAAGACUUCAGUUUUCAACAAGUUUUAUUUUUUACAUCGGUUCAGAAACGUGUCGAUUGAGGUUGAUUUAUCGGCAUGUCAUUUCUAUACAACUGAAUACAAAGAGCUAAUGUAACAAAGAAAAUAUUUGAGAAAAUAUUCCGCCGAAAGACGUCGAUUAUCGGUCGACUGGAGUGACACGAAACAGUGACGAACGUUUGAGGUACUAUUAAAAUACUGUCGUCAUUCUUCAGUCACGUUUGUUUCUUGGCCAGGUCAAGGUGAAUACUUCGCUACUUCUCGCCAGUGUAUCGAUGUAUGAAACAGUGACGAGAAACUUUUUGGUAACUGAACAAACCCAAUAUUUAAUGACGUAUAUCAACAAAAAUUAUCGGUACGUUGUAACCGUCUGAAACGCGUCUCAUGUCUAAAAAGACGUGAGCUACACGUGAGUAUGAAAAAUUGCGUACGCAAUCAUCGUUGCGAUGCUUCGUGUCCAUGAAUUAAAAAACGGUAUUUUAUGAACCAAUCGUGUAAGAAGAGCGUCAAAAAAUUAUUUUUCUCGCUCCCCUACCCGAAAGUAUAUACGCACUUUUCGGCUGCAUUUUAGACCAGGAAGAGAAAUAAAAAACAAUGAAAAUUCGGACAAUCAAAAUCACAACGAUAUAAGUUCAGCACUCACGAAAGAUCAUUUAGUAUUUUCCAGUUGUGCUUUCAACAAUUGUGUAUUCAACAUCACUUUAUGUAAUCGUAAUAAAGAAAAUAAAUCGUAAAUUAUAAAAUUGCUUUUAUAUUAA